AGUUGUAAAUUUUGCCUAUGAGUAAAAUACAACUAGCCCUACUUUUUAAGUUUACAUUUCAUUAAUCAGUUUUUAAUUUUAAUCUUUCUUAAAUCAGGUUAUAUUAAAUUAUUUAACAUCAAAUUUCAAAUACAAUAUUAACAAUCGAUUACUAAUUAAUUAUUGUCUUUUACGUGAAUAGUGGGAGAGAGAAAACUUAUCAAAAUUUAUUCUUCUUUCUUCCACAUCCAGCAAGAAAGAAGUCAAAAUCCAUUCUUCAAUUCAAGAUUCCACAAUAGUCAAGAUAUUAGAUAUUUGAAGCCUCCAUCGUUUGUAUUAUUAUUAAUUAUAUUUUCCCUAAUUCAUUUUCUCAAAUACCCUAUUUUAUAGUUCAAGAUUUUAUUGAACACUAACUCAUUACAAACCCAAAUCGAGAGUGGUAUUAACAAAGAGUGUAUGCCGAAAAUCUCAUUGAAGGAUGAAUAGGAGAAUGGAAAAAUUAGGAUUAAAAAAAACUAAAAGCACAGAAAGAUCUUCAUUCCAAAAAACAAAAAAACAAAAAAUUC
rnacentral:lncRNA from 1 species